AUUGAACGCUGGCGGCAGGCCUAACACAUGCAAGUCGAACGAGUGGCGGACGGGUGAGUAAUGUCUGGGAAACUGCCCGAUGGAGGGGGAUAACUACUGGAAACGGUAUCUAAUACCGCAUACCAUCAGAUGUGCCCAGAUGGGAUUAGCUUGUUGGUGGGGUAACGGCUCACCAAGGCGACGAUCCCUAGCUGGUCUGAGAGGAUGCCAGGCAAAACGGGAACUGGGACACGGUCCGGACGCCAACGGGGGGCGGCAGGGGGAAAUAUUGCACAUGGGGGGCAGGCCUAAUGCAGCCAUGCCGGGUUUAGGAAGAGGGCCUUGGGGUUGUAAAGUACUUUCAGCGGGAAGGCGUUACCCGCAGAAGAAGCACCGGCUAACUCCGUGCCAGCAGCCGCGGUAAUUC
rnacentral:rRNA from 1 species